rnacentral:lncRNA from 1 species
UUUGAGUGGAAGAAAUCAACUCCUACAGCAGCCUGGAAACAGCAAGAUGUGGCAAAGGACUUUCUGUCCUGUGCCCAGCUAUUAGAAAAAAGGAUUGACAGAGACUCAAAAGAAGGGUCAGAUGGAAACCAAACAGUAAUUCUGGGGUCACCAAUACCUGCCAAAGAGAAGCAUCUAAGCUGGUGUUUCACUUCUUCACCAUCAAAGUCAGUGGCAUUUACACAUGUGCAAGCACUGGCUUGCACCCCUUGCUGAAAUGUGGCCAAGAUUUUGGUUGUAUGUGAACUCUGGAUCUCAAAAGUCAGGCUCAGCUGAAACAGAUGUAACAUCAAAACCAUUUGAAAGUGCAACCCAUCAACUGGCAAUUACCUUGGAAGGUUCAAGAAGAUUUCAAACCAUGGAUUUCAGGAAACAUUGUCUUUGUGAUGUGCAGGAAUAUAGGAAUGCAACUUGCAGCUGUUGAAGAAAGAACUGCAUGUAUAACUUUUCCUUCACUUUGAAUAUCUAUCCUCUAGCAAGUCUACAUAACAGAAAGAUUGAUCAAUGAUGUGUGAAUUAAGAUGGAUUAAAAUGUCUGUGCGUCUUCAGAACUGCCAUGUAUGGAUUACUGGGUAAUUAACUUGCAAUUUCAAAAUUGGUACCUGCACCUCAAUAUGCCUGAAAACCUGGCAUACUGAGAAUAUGAUAUAUUUACCAUAAAAAUGUACAUACUGUGUAACAUACACAACACAUGCAUGCAUAUAGGGAAAAAAAAGUGAACUGUAAAAAAAGUAAAAUUAAAUUACAUGAAUCCAUGUAGCUACCAUGCUACUGCAGGGACUAUAAUAAAAAAAAGAACGAAUUACCA